GUUGUAUAUGGUUUUAUAAAGAACCUUUUUGAAAAUGCUUCUAUGUAGCACCAAAGAGGGACAUUGUUGCAAUGUCAAGCUUCUAACAAUAGAAGAACUCUUUUUGGUGCUAUGUAAAACCAUACAUACCUCAGUCAAUCUAUAGAACCAUGCAAAAAAACCUUUAAGCAUGAAAGGGUAAAAAGAACCAUUGCCUUUACUAAAUAACUCUUGAAGAACCAUCUUUUUGCGUCUAGUGUCUAGUCCUUCAAACAUUCUCAUCUAGCUUCCUCUCUUUUACUGCAGAGAGAGAGCAGGAGAAACAGAAGCUGGAAAAGUGGAGCUCUGAGCUCCAGCAGGAGAGAGAGGAGUUACAACUCCGAGUCAAACAGCUCAGCGACUCCAUAAUGAUCUGCAUGGAGAGCAGAAAUGGUGUUCUGGCCCGACAGAGAGAAAUGGAGGCAUCGAUAGAGAAGGUGAAGGGUCUAGUGCGUCUGAUCAGGGGCAUUCAGUUGCCAAAAGUCCCUCCCACUGGCAUGGCCAAUGGAGACACAGAUCCUGCUUUAACCCAGCAGCCUGACAUUACCCAAACAUCUGAGGAAGAUAAACAUGCAAAUAUAAAGAACAACAUAAAGGAUAGUAUUCCAGCUAUCAUCAUCAGCGCCUCAACAGACCUCAGUGAUACCUCAAAUCUAAAAAGCAGCCUAAACAACAAUGCUGCAAACAUCAACAGCAGUGUUUCAAGCCCUGGAAAUACCGAUCUCCUCCGGUGUGCUCCCAGCACAAAUAUCUCUCCUGUUCUCAGCAAUACCCAAAGCCAGAAUCCCAUUAUUGCCAAGUCAAAUGGGCCUCUGGAGCCAGAAGACAGACAUGAGGAAAGUAUAGACAAAAAUACAGACAACGAUAUAAAUAAAAACAGCAUUGGAGACAUAAACAAAAACAGCAUCAGGGAUCUCAGAGGAACCACAGAACCCCCGCUGCCUGCAGUAAUGCCCAUGGCAGAUGUAAUACAGGGUGUAGAAUAGUACCAUCAUCCUACCUUUGACCCUUUUCCACCCUGUAUGCGCCAUAGACCCCCUCCCGAAUCACCCAGCACCCGCACCUGGAUGUCCAAAGUUGCCAUUCAGCAUUUCCUUUCUUGUGUCGUCAUUUCAUUCUGUAUCCGCAGUGCCAUUUCAGAUGAGCAGGAUUAAAAGUUCUGAAGUACCAGCACCUAAAAAAAGUUUAACACAAAGAUUAAUCAUAUAGAAAAUGAAUAAAUUAAGAGUUAUAAGAGUUUAAGAUAUCACACCAACGCGUGCCUGCUGUCGUUGCCAUUGCGCCUCUUGGUCAGAAAGCUUAGGGAACGACCGAGGCAAGGCCUUUGCCGGCUCUUAGGACGUGAAUAUUGCUUGUGGUCUCUGUCAGGUCCUGUUGCUGUAUAAAAAGGAGUAUUAACACUGUCUAAAUGACAGAAUUUCUCCAAAAGAGGCAUAGGGCUUUUGUUUUUUUCUGGGCUCCAAAGCAGAUUAGAACAACUGAGAGGGAAAGGUGAAGCAUAAUUUAUAAGCAGGUCUUCCAGGUGUUUAAAGAGAUACACACCUAUUAGAUGUAUUUGUCCUAUUUAUGGUCUUAUAGAUUGUGCAGCAAUUCUGUAAAUAUAUUUUUUUUAAUUGCUGUCUUUUUGAGGAAAUAUUCAGUUCUGUUUUGCCAAAUGUUUGCCACAGGGACAUGUAUUUUUACUUUAUGGUGGUUUUAAAUAGCUAUAUGAAUAGUAGAGUUGUAUUUGCGUAGCAUCAGUAUUGAGAACCCUUAAUGUAAAAUCUGACACAGCCUUAACUCGUGAUCAAAUUGAGAUGUGUUUGAGUGUUUAGACAAAGUUACUGAGUGUGAUGUUGGAUCUCAAACACAGUCUAUAUGUUGUGUAUUGUACCCAUAUCACUCACUUGAAACUUAUUUUAAUUAGGCUAUAGGCUAUCUGCCAAUCAAUAGCUUUUAUGAUCCUCAACCAGUGACCCCAAGAAAACUGAACCAAAAGACAAAACUACAUGGUAAUCUGCCCUCUGGUUUAUGCACAUUUGAUUAGAAAUAUUCCAUUUGUUAAGUGAUGCUUAUGUAGCAUUUUAAAGGGCUUUGUCUUUUGUAUUGUUUUAUUAGCUGAAGUGUUAGCCUUCCAAAUGGCAGCACUGUUAAGAUCACUUGGAGAAAAAAAGCACAGGACUGUAAGCUUUAGUCACGAAUCCAACAGCACCAGUGUAAGAAAUAUAGGGACAGACUCUAACCCGAAACCCCUCCAUUUUUCUGUUAUCAUAUCAUGUUGAAGAUGAACGAUCAAAGCCUUGCUGCAUUUGUACCAUGUCUCAGAGUGUACAUUUGGUCAUAUAUGACUACAGACCAGGGUGUUGUUAUAAAUAAUAAUAAAAUAGGUGGGUACAAAAUAUCAAAGGCUGAUAUAUUAUUGACCAGUAAACAGGAAGAUAUAACUAUAAUUAGUAAUCUGGUAAUGGAAUUUCAGUCAAUAAUUACAACUGAUAACUUUCUCUCACACACUGACAAACGUAUAGUCACUAGUUGUGGACAUUUCCACUGUCCUGGAACUAGAGGUGGGUAAUCCGGGUCCAAACGGUGAAAACCCUCCCCAGCAUUUUGAUCCAACUGCCUGAACACCUUUGCUGCUGGUUUGAGCAAGUUUGAAGGGUCAAGCAGUUGGAACAAAAUCCUAGGGUGAGUUUUUAUUUUUUGGACCUGGAUUACCCACCUCUACCUGAAACACACACAGGUUGCAUAUUGGAUAAUAGCACAGCUCCACACAUGGAAGACUGAAGGUUUAGUCCCCCGUCUAGGCAGGAUUGUCACUGCUGUAACAGUUAGAACCCCUGGGCACGACUUAUAACAUUACAUUCAUGUGCGUUUGUGUGUUCUAAAAGUCUUUUUAAGUAGUCAUGGUUAUGUAAAACUUGGAGCUGACACAAACAGCAUAUUAUGUGGGAAAAGUCCUUCCUAAUGUCUCACAUAUUUUUACAUGUUGUGUCUAUUUUUUCAUGUGACUGAACCAGCCCUAGUAUAAUUAUUCAGUGACCUAUAUUUAUGCUGCAUUUAAAAGUAUUGGCAGUAAAUGGGUAAUGGCAAACUGGAUUUUCCAUUGUUUCCAGAGGUGCUGUUGAAUGUUCUACCAAGACCUCAGUUUUCCCAAAUUUUGCCAUUGAUUGUGGGGUGAAAUAAACUGGAUGUUCAUUAUUUGGGCAGCCACAGAUGCCAGAUGUUGCAAUGCAGACAAACCCAGUAUUAUACAACAAAAAUAAAGUACUACAUCUUUCUGACAUUUUCCUACUUAAAUAAACAGUCUACACUGCUAAAACUCUCCUCGCCAGUAAUGCUAUCACCAUGCCAGUGUUUGGUCACAAAUGAGGUAUAAGCAACACAGCAUUUCAAGAGUUUCAACCUGACACUCACUACUUCAUAUAUGUGUAUUAUAGUGGGAACUUAAAAUGCAAAAAAAUAAAAUAAUUUUUUGGUUUAUGUAUAGGCCACAGCAAGGUGUUAACGGUGGUUGUUGUUAUUGGCCAAGAAAUUCCAUAUCAAUGCAUAAUUAAUACAAAGAAAGAAACUUAUGGGUUUGUGUUCAAAUAUAAAUCAUUAUGUUAAUAAAAGAAGCACAACAGAUCAUGCGGAGAUGCAAAUGUCAAAUAGAAUUGUGAUGCAGGUCUGUAGAUAUAGAUGGUUCUGUUGAAGUGUCAGCUUUAUGUGUGUGUCUGUGUGUAGCACUUCUCAGGCAGACACUGCCCUAUCCUGCAGUAGUCUUUCUGAAGCAGUUGCCUUAAGAUAUUGUGUGUGAUCUCCCUGCACUGAGGGGUAUCUGUGUAAUCUGGCAACAUAACGUGUGCACACAGUGUUUCUCUGCAGGAAACAUGACCUCUUUUUCUGUUGUACAAUCAUCAGAUUUGUCAAUUAUGUAUGUUACACUUGUGGUUUAGUGCACAGUGCCUCAUUCAUCUAGGGUAUUUAAGUUUUGUUUACAAGACCUGUAAUUUAAAUUGCUAAUAUGUUGUUGCACUUUGGGUUCAGACAAUUUCUCAGUUCUUUUUUAUGUUGUAGUGCAUCAGUCGUCAUCUCAUGCUUCAUGUGGAUUGAUUUGAAAUCAAUCACUUUUAAAGCAGCCCAGCUACGUUUUUGUCUAGCUACACAAUAGUAUAGAGGAGCCAUGAGCCAAUUCUUCUUGCUGGAGAUGGAACAAGCUUCCCUUUUCUAGAUGAAUAUACUAGCAUUUACUUCUAAUAAUGUUUAAAAUGCAAGUACACGCUUUUGGGGAACUAAUAAGACAUAAGCUGGUGGGCAGCUUUAAGCCCUAUAAAACUGAAGAUAGUAGGGAAAAAAAAGAAAAUAAUAUACAAAUGUGCAAAAUUCAUGCUAAAUCUCACUCAGCCAAGACAGUUGCGUGUCUCAGUUGUGAGUGUUCAUGUGCAUUUUUGCAAAAAAUCUACAAACGAAUGGUUCUUAAUGUCUCUUUGCUAUGUUGAUAUUAAAAUAUCUGAUGUAAUAAAAGUGUGUUUGG
ensembl:lncRNA